GGGAGUUAAAAGAAGUGAAAAUGCUGACAUGAGAAACGACAAGGCGGGUAAAAACCCCGCACGCCGGAAGACCAAGGGUUCCUGCGCAACGCUAAUCGGCGCAGGGUGAGUCGGCCCCUAAGGCGAGACCGAAAGGUGUAGUCGAUGGGAAACGGGUUAAUAUUCCCGUACCUUGGAUAGCUGCGAUGGAGAGACGGAGAAGGCUAGGUGAGCCGGGCGACGGUUGUCCCGGUUUAAGCGAGUAGGGAGUGGACUUAGGCAAAUCCGGGUCCACAAUCCCGAGACGUGACGACGACUGCUCAUAGAGCGGGAAGUCAUUGAUGCCAUGCUUCCAGGAAAAUCUUCUAAGCUUCAGGCUAUUCGAGACCGUACCCCAAACCGACACAGGUGGUCAGGUAGAGAAUACCAAGGCGCUUGAGAGAACUCGGGUAAAGGAACUAGGCAAAAUGGUGCCGUAACUUCGGGAGAAGGCACGCUGGCAGUAAGUGAAGCCCCUGCGGGUGGAGCUGAGACCAGUCGAAGAUACCAGGCCCCUGCGACUGUUUAUUAAAAACACAGCACUGUGCAAACACGAAAGUGGACGUAUACGGUGUGACGCCUGCCCGGUGCCGGAAGGUUAAUUGAUGGGGUUAGCGCUUGCGCGAAGCUCUUGAUCGAAGCCCCGGUAAACGGCGGCCGUAACUAUAACGGUCCUAAGGUAGCGAAAUUCCUUGUCGGGUAAGUUCCGACCUGCACGAAUGGUGUAACCAUGGCCACGCUGUCUCCACCCGAGACUCAGUGAAAUUGAAAUCGCCGUGAAGAUGCGGUGUAUCCGCGGCUAGACGGAAAGACCCCGUGAACCUUUACUAUAGCUUCACAGUGAACUUUGAGCAUGUUUGUGUAGGAUAGCUGGGAGGCUUUGAAGUGGGAACGCCAGUUCUCAUGGAGCCAACCUUGAAAUACCAGCCUGACAUGUUUGAGGUUCUAACUUGGUCCCCUUAUCGGGGAUGAGGACACUGUGUGGUGGGUAGUUUGACUGGGGCGGUCUCCUCCCAAAGCGUAACGGAGGAGCACAAAGGUGGGCUAAGCAUGGUCGGACAUCAUGCGGUUAGUGUAAUGGCACAAGCCCGCUUAACUGCGAGACAGACACGUCGAGCAGGUACGAAAGUAGGUCAUAGUGAUCCGGUGGUUCUGUAUGGAAGGGCCAUCGCUCAACGGAUAAAAGGUACUCCGGGGAUAACAGGCUGAUACCGCCCAAGAGUUCACAUCGACGGCGGUGUUUGGCACCUCGAUGUCGGCUCAUCACAUCCUGGGGCUGAAGCCGGUCCCAAGGGUAUGGCUGUUCGCCAUUUAAAGUGGUACGCGAGCUGGGUUUAGAACGUCGUGAGACAGUUCGGUCCCUAUCUGCCGUGGACGUUGGAGAUUUGAGGAAAGCUGCUCCUAGUACGAGAGGACCGGAGUGGACGAACCUCUGGUGUUCGGGUUGUGACGCCAGUCGCAUUGCCCGGUAGCUAUGUUCGGACAGGAUAACCGCUGAAAGCAUCUAAGCGGGAAGCCCCUUCCAAGAUGAGAUCUCCCUGGACCCUCGAGGUCCCUGAAGAGCCGUUCAAGACCAGGACGUUGAUAGGUCGGGUGUGUAAGCGCUGCGAGGCGUUGAGCUAACCGAUACUAAUUGCUCGUGCGGCUUGAC
rnacentral:rRNA from 1 species